UACGGAGGGGGCGAGCGUUAUUCGGAAUUAUUGGGCGUAAGGGUAGGUAGGUGGUCUUAUUUGUCUGGGGUGAAAGCCUUGAGCUUAACUCAAGGAAGUGCCCCAGAAACGGUAAGACUGGAGUCCUGGAGAGGGUCGUGGAAUUCCCGGUGUAGCGGUGAAAUGCGUAGAGAUCGGGAGGACACCAGAGGCGAAGGCGGCGACCUGGACAGGCACUGACACUCAACUACGGAAAGCGUGGGGAGCAAACAGG
rnacentral:rRNA from 1 species